rnacentral:piRNA from 1 species
UCUGAGGUGCAAGCAGUAGACAUCCUUCUC